AUAUUGGACAAUGGGGGCAACCCUGAUCCAGCCAUGCCGCGUGUGUGAAGAAGGCCUUCGGGUUGUAAAGCACUUUCAGCGGGGAGGAAGGCUGACUGGCUAAUAUCCAGUUGGAUUGACGUUACCCGCAGAAGAAGCACCGGCAAACUCCGUGCCAGCAGCCGCGGUAAUACGGAGGGUGCGAGCGUUAAUCGGAAUUACUGGGCGUAAAGCGCGCGUAGGCGGUUGGGAAAGUUGGAUGUGAAAGGCCUGGGCUUAACCUGGGAAUUGCAUCCAAAACUACCCGGCUAGAGUGCAGCAGAGGAUGGUGGAAUUCCCGGUGUAGCGGUGAAAUGCGUAGAUAUCGGGAGGAACAUCAGUGGCGAAGGCGACUGUCUGGGCUGACACUGACGCUGAGGUGCGAAAGCGUGGGGAGCAAACAGG
rnacentral:rRNA from 1 species